CACCGGCGGCUCGAGUGGUGGCCACUUUUAUUGGGUCUAAAGCGUCCGUAGCCGGCUUGGCAAGUCCCCUGGGAAAUCUGGCGGCUUAACCGUCAGGCGUCCAGAGGAUACUGCCAGGCUUGGGACCGGGAGAGGUGAGAGGUACCUCAGGGGCAGGGGUGAAAUCUUGUGAUCCCUGAGGGACCACCAGUGGCGAAGGCGUCUCACUAGAACGGGUCCGACGGUCAGGGACGAAAGCUGGGGGCACGAACCGG
rnacentral:rRNA from 1 species